CAGUUCGGGGCGGAGCUCCCGAGAGCUUUCCGGCCCGGCUAUUGGUUGGGCAGAGCUGUGACGUCACUACGGGAGGGGGGACAAGGAGCGAGCAGCCAAGAGAGGAGGGAAGAAAGGAAGGCGGAAACGGAGCGCCUUUCCGGUUUCUAGGGGGACUUCAACUCCCAGAAGCCUCUGCCAGCUUGGCGCACGGUUUGGAAUUCUGGGAAACCGAGUCCAAGACGCCUGAGGGAACCAAAGGUGGCGACACGAGGCCUUUUAGUGUCUCGGAAAGCUCGGCUUUGGCGACGCUUGACAAGAAUUUACCUUAUUGUGUGUGUGUUUCGGCGGUAAUAGUAUGAAUUCCAAGCCAUUGACGCCGACGAAGAGGCAAAGCACUGGGAACCAAUACAAAAUACAAGAGCGUAUUCUGGAGAUGGACUAUAUUAUUAUUUGCUGCAGACAUUGCCAGCUGUGGCCAUAUUUACAGAAAGGUGAAUGGAUGCAACUAUAAUAUUGGAAAUGUCAACUAUUAAUUUAUCUCAUUAGUGAUGUUUUGAUAUUUCAGUUUACACAGGAAUAAGUUCCGUGAAACACUUUGGGCAUUAAAAAUAGCACACACUUCUCUUAAAACACUUUAGUAAUUUUAUUAUAAAGGUAAUUAUAAAUACCAAUAAUAGUAUAAAAACAAAUUUGAGAGAAGUGAACACUUUCACCAUGUUUUUAUAAUGCAAUCCUAUAUACAUUUCUAGGCAUCAGUGGAGCCCAAGUCCAGUAAGUGCCUAAGAUUACAGUCCUAGACACACCUGCCUAGACUUAAUUAUCGUUGAUUGAAAACAGGAGGGUAAACUUCUGAAUAAACGGGAUUUUAAAUCUUUCAGGGGUAGAGGUGGGCAACUGCAUUGAGGUAGUUUUAUGGCAGGGACAGUAGAAGUGGAUUCAGAGGCAUUAGACAGACUGGGACCUCUGGAGUGUUAACAAGAUUUGCAGUAUCAUGGGCCUCCAGAUUGAGCCCUAGGAAUAGUUUAUUUGGGGUUAAAUUUAUUUCUCUGUAAAUAUAUACAUAUACAUAGACACAUUCCCUCACACAACCCUUUGAAGAGACAUGGCACCAAACACACUGGAAAUACUUUCUGACUGUCCUACAAAGUAGAUUUAACAGCAGAAAAUAAUUGAAAUUGGAGGUCCUAGAUGAUUGCUUCACAUCCACAGAUCACCGACAGUUGCAUUUAGGAUCCAGCCGCAUGCCCAGCGGGGGGAAGCAUACUAAAUUGACUUCGUUGGACAAGACUAACCAAGCAUUAGUCCUCCGGAUUUCACUCCCGGUUUUAUUGGCCAACGAUCAGGAAUUCUGGGAUCUGAAGUCCAAAACACUGGGAGGACCAGAGUUCAGACAACACUCUCUCAGAGGUUCACAUCUCUGAAGAUGCGAGGGAGGAAAAGAAGAUGCUCGACCAAUCCAUGUCACAUGUUAUGAAGCACCUAAAACUGGAAGUGGAUCUCGAGAAAAGUCGAAAAUCCUUGCGAAAAAGUAGUUGGCGGUAACAUACAAACAUUGGUACCGUGUUACAAAAAUUGCUACUAAUUUAAAUCAUUUAAAUAAAAUAUGUCAUUAGAAUGGGAAGUGAAAGGAAGAGGAAAUCUUGGGGGGCUAAGAGUUGGUCCUGGCAAGGUUUGGGGCCAUUUGUUUCUCUUUAUCCUCACAUUUGGGGAAGGGGUACGCACUACGGGACACGCAAAGAGGGGCCUCUGGGGCGCCAGUGGGUGUGGGGCGGGUGUGUCGGUGGGUGCUGGUGCUGGUGGUGCCAAGAGAGGCAGCUCCCCGGUCCAAACUCUGGACCCAACCACUGAUGGUUCAGCUCUUGCCUGAGCAGCACAUGAUCUAGAAGGGGAAGGGGAGAGAAAGGGGGGAAGAGACACAAGGGCCCAAGGGCCUGUGAGUUUCACCAAGACAUAACAGUAAACCAGUCGAGAUAGUCACCUGGCAUUCCCUGUUUCUGCAGGUCAUGCUGUGGUGGUUUUCUACGUGAGGACUCAUUGGUGGAGGUAAGAGAGAUGCCUGUGACAAAGUACCAAUCAGAAUCCCCGAAUGAGGCUGGCAAUACAUGAUUGGUUGGUUGAAUGAUAUCAACAGGCUGGUAUCUAAAGACAAGAGAGAACACCAUGAGCCAUCACAGCAGAAAACAUAUGGGGGCAUUAGCAAACCCCUCUCCCCCCUGCCGUCCCAACCAGGCUCACCUCCCAGCCCAAGAAACACAGAGGACAGAAUCAUGGCAUUGCUUUCAAAUGACAUUUGGUAAAAGGUUUGGUAAAAAUAACCCAACAACCAUUCCAUCCUGUUUUUCACCCCACCAUGGUAUCUGCAUGUACAUUAAGAGAUAUUUAAUAAACAACAUUUUCCUCCCAGGUUCACUGCCACCCAUGAAGCCAUUCCCCAAACACCCCCAUAGUUCCAAAAGCAACUACAAAUGUAAAUAUGGACCCUCAAAACAUUGUCUCUCUUUGACUUCCACCCUACCCUUCAAAAGGUCCCAGGGGCCUUGCCAAUAGUUACAAAUUACAAAACAAGCACAUCAAAACAUUGUUCCAGGUUAUGUGCAAACGUUUUAAUAGUCUUCAGAGCCAUGAAGUUGAAAAACAAAUUACUCUAAAAGCAUACGGUUGAACAUGUAAGUGGCGAAACGUGAGAUCAAGCUUAAAAGCAAUGCAAGAAGGGCUUUUGCUUAAAUCGGUGUGCUUUCACCCUCCUGUGGCCUUUUUCACUUCCCCAAACUGCAGGCUGCCUGCACCUGGGGCGAUAGUGGUGUGCUCCUUGUAGAAAAAAACCUUUAACAGGUAUGUUGUAAAUACAUCAGAAGCAAUUUGGGGAUCCUCAAUCCACAGUGACAAUUAAGGGCUUCCAAAGAACCCUGAAGGAGAAGUGUGAUUUAUCUAAAGAAUAAAAGAAAUUGCUGUGGAAUAAUUAAAAGCUAUUGCUUAUUGCUUGAGGGCCAUCUUUAAUGUUUUCUUAUGAUUCACAUCUAUUACUUUGGAGGAAAAAGCCCAAAUACUAACAGCCAUAUGCGUACGUGUAUAUAUUUUUUUAUCUAUCUGCCGCUGUAUAGAACAAGCCACAGGUUGUAUCGAUAAAUAAAGGAAGAUAUUUCUAUAUUGUUUCCUGAAAACACACGUUUUUGGAAAUAAAUUCACACACCCCUCUUCUCUGACACUUCCCUCUUAUUUCUUUACCAACACUUUCAGCUCCUAUUCUCUCAGUGUAACACGAAUAGCUGCCAUAGAGCUCAGGCUUUUCCUAGAAAGGAAGCACUCAUUCUGCAAAGCGGUGCGAAGAGGCUCACUAGGAAGGGGGUACACAGGACAUUUUCACAAGCAAUACAGAAAUUAGGAGUUAGCCCUUUUCUUUCUGCUGCAUUGCUUUUUAAACGUCUCUUCUAUGGAAAGAAGAGUUGAAACUUGGUUGUUAUACUAAAGAGACACAGCUCAUACAUUUCUAUUACUAGUAUAGCAUUACCACCUUUGUUUUCAUAACACCUUUUGGCUGUGCUUUUUUCUUCUUCUUCUGAAAAGUGAAUCUGACACAACAAAUCUUUUAUGGCUCAGAGAAAUUUAAUCUCUUAUUAAAAUAAUUUGCGGGAUGAGAUUUGCAUGGGUCCAAGGAAGGCAAAAGACACAUAGCAGGCAAUGUAGGUGUUGUUGGAGUAGAGGCUACUGCUAAGUAAGAAAAAAAUAAUGGUUCAUCCACAAGGCAAAAAUGAUCACGUAUGCUUUGUAUUAAAUACCAAGGGCCAAAGUAGAUGUGAUGGCUGCAGAACUAGUUUACCGACACCCAGGUCAGCAAAGGUAGGCAUUCGUCUAGACCCCCCAAGCCUGGUGACCCCCAGAAAUGCUGAACCACAUGCUGGCUAUGAACGAUGGGAGUUGUAGUCCCCCACAUCUGGAGAAUACCAGGUUGGGGAAGGCAGUCCUAACUCUCCCUUGAACCACUCUCUGCCCCCCAGUUCACUUCUAGAGCUCUGGGAGGAACAAAAGUACGGAGGCAAAGCACUGACAAUGAUAGGGACCAUGUAGCCCCCUCCCCACCUUUUGGUGUUUUUAUGUACAAUAUUUUAUACUAUACCACUUUCCAGGUUUCAGAAAAGAGGCAAAACAAUAUAUUGCGCUUUAUAUGUGACUCUAGUCACAUAUAAGUUUGACUCUAGUGACUGAUGCCAGUGGUGAUGAGAGUGAAGAUGAGGAUGACAGAAUAGUAAUACUUACAAGAAUAAUAUAGAACAUUUAUAUAAAAAAUGUGGGUGGGGUGGGGGAAUCUGCCCUGGCUUAAGCACCUGGAUACUUCUGUCAGUAACAAGAUAAUCCACUUGGGUGUUUUCCCGGGGGAGGAAUGGAGGAGGGAAAGAGCAAUGGAUUUAAAAGUUGGCAGCUGCAAAGUGAUUCAGUAUCUGGUUUCUUUAAAAGACGUGAAGCCACCCUGAUGGAUUUGCAGCUGACUCCAGACUUCAGUAUGACAUUGCAGCGUCAUCUUUAUCAGCAAAGAGAACAAAAAGUGAGUGUCUAGGGGGCACAAAAUAGCAGCAACUGCAGUGGCAAAGCACUUACGCAGAGAGACUGUAACAGGGACGCAAGAUGGCAGGCAGGCCGAACUAGUUUCCAUCUCGUAUUGGCUGCGAUGCGUUGGGGCUGGCACACAAGCAGGUGCGGAGAUGUGCACUGAGUGGGCUAGUGCAGUCAGGGACUGCCUUCCUGUUUGCCUUGAAGGGGAGUAGUCUGUAUUCACAACAAGGAUUCUCCAUUAAAUUAUAGAACUGUCAUGGUGUGUGCAUCAGGGUCCCAGAGAGCUCUGCCUUGUGGCCAUUGGGUGAACACGAAAGGCAAUUCGUAUGUUGAGUGGACAGCAACAAUAAUUAAUUUACACAGCAAUUUAGUGUUUAAAAUAGGAAGUGGGCUAGCAGUAUAGUGGUCUAGCCCAAUAUCAUUUAUUUUAAGUGGGAGCAGUUUUCCAGGUCUCAGGCAGAGAACAUUCCCAUCACUUGUUACCCAACUCCUGAUUCAGAGGAAGAGCCGCAGCUAGAGUGCACGUCUAUCUCAACGAUUUAACAUCUGCAUGGACAAUAGGAACUCUACCACUGAGAUGUGGUCCCUCCCCCAAAUAUGUUGCUCUGAAGUAAUCCUUGUCAUAGCUUUCAGUGUUAUUGUCUUCACGCUGCCAAUGGGCUGAAGGCUUAGAUAUAGAGGCAUGCCUAAGGGAACCUAGUUCAUUCAUGGCAGAGGUGACCUUCUAUGGCUAGUGUAUAUAAAUAUUGGUUCCAUGUAUUUUACUAUGUGUAUUUUAUAGAAAUGUGUUUGUAUGCAUUCAAUAAAAUGUUCGAUAAUGUAUUGUGAUGUGUUUUCUGUGCUGUGCCCUGCCCUGAGCUGUGAGGAGAAAUAAAGUUGUUGUUUGUUGUUA